rnacentral:rRNA from 1 species
CCUACGGGGGGCAGCAGUGGGGAAUAUUGCACAAUGGGGGAAACCCUGAUGCAGCGACGCCGCGUGAGUGAAGAAGUAAUUCGUUAUGUAAAGCUCUAUCAGCAGGGAAGAAAAUGACGGUACCUGAGUAAGAAGCCCCGGCUAACUACGUGCCAACAGCCGCGGUAAUACGUAGGGGGCAAGCGUUAUCCGGAUUUCCUGGGUGUAAAGGGAGCGUAGUCGGCAGUGCAAGUCUGGAGUGAAAGGCGGGGGCGCAACCCCCGGACUGCUCUGGAAACUGGACGGCUGGAGUGCAGGAGAGGUAAGUGGAAUGCCUGGUGUAGCGGUGAAAUGCGUAGAUAUUAGGAGGAACACCAGUGGCGAAGGCGGCUUACUGGACUGUAACUGACGUUGAGGCUCGAAAGCGUGGGGAGCAAACAGGAUUAGAUACCCGAGUAGUC